GACGAACGCUGGCGGCGUGCUUAACACAUGCAAGUCGAACGGAAAGGCCCUGCUUUUGUGCGGUGCUCGAGUGGCGAACGGGUGAGUAACACGUGAGUAACCUGCCCUUGACUUUGGGGUAACUUCAGGAAACUGGGGCUACUACCGUAUAGGAGAUCCUGCUGCAUGGUGGGGGUUGGAUAGUCUCGGCGGUUGGGGAUGGACUGGCGGCUUAACACCUUGUUGGUGGGGUAGUGGUUUACCCAGGCAUUGAAGGGUAGGCGGCACGAGAGGGUGAACGGCCACAAUGGGACUGAGAGACGGCCCAGUCGGGAACGGGAGGCAGCAGUGGGGAGUAUGGCACAAUGGGAGCGAGUCGGUGGCAGCAACCCCGCGGGUGGGAAGACGGCCUGCGGGGUGAAAACCGCAGUCGGUUGUGACGAAGCGGUAGUGACGGUAAUGGGUAAAGAAGCACCGGCUAACUACGUG
rnacentral:rRNA from 1 species